GAGGAGCCGUAAGGAAACCGAGUCUGAAUAGGGCGUCUAGUUGCAAUCGGUAGACCCGAAGCCAGUUGAUCUACCCAUGGUCAGGGUGAAGCGGGAGUAAGAUCGCGUGGAGGCCCGAACCGGUGUUUGUUGCAAAAAGCUCGGAUGAACUGUGGGUAGGAGCGAAAGACCAAUCAAAACUGGUGAUAGCUGGUACUCCCCGAAAUGCAUUUAGGUGCAGCCUUUGGUAAUAGUCUGCAGGGGGUAGGGCACUGGAUGGGCUAGGGCUUCGCAAGAGGUACCAAACCCAACCAAACCACGAAUACCUGUCAGAUGUUUCGAGGGAGUGAGACUGCGGGUGCUAAGAUUCGUAGUCGAGAGGGAAACAGCCCAGACCGUCAGCUAAGGUCCCUAAAGAUGUGCUAAGUGGAUAAGGUUGUAGUCCUACGUAGACAACCAGGAUGUUGGCUUAGAAGCAGCCAUCAUUUAAAGAAAGCGUAAUAGCUCACUGGUCAAGCGGGGCUGCGCCGAAAAUUUAACGGGGCUCAAGCACAUUACCGAAGCUACGGAACGCGCGCAAGUGCGUUGGUAGGGGAGCAUUCUGUAGGCCUUUGAAGGUGACCUGCGAGGGUUGCUGGAGGUAUCAGAAGAGAGUAUGUCGGCAUAAGUAGCGUAAAGACUGAUGGGAAGUCAGUCCGCCGUAAACCUAAGGUUUCCUGGGGAAGGUAAAUCCGCCCAGGGUUAGUCGGUCCUAAGACGAGGCCGCGAGGCGUAGCCGAUGGACAGCAGGUUAAUAUUCCUGCACCAUCUUGUAGUCGUUUGAUACCAGAGGGGACGCAGUAGGAUAGUACGAGCCUGGUGAUGGUUCAGGUCCAAGCGUUUAGGCUUGUGUGUUGGCAAAUCCGCACACAGUUAAGGCUGAGGCGUGAUGGGGAAGCCAGUAAAACGGUGAACUCGUGUGAUUCCACACUGACUAGAAAAUCCUCGGGGGUAGAUUGCAGGAUGACCGUACCGCAAACCGACAAAGGUAGGUGGGUAGAAGAUACCAAGGCGUUCGAGAGAAACCUCGCUAAGGAACUCGACAAAAUAACCCCGUAACUUCGGGAGAAGGGGUCCCUGUGAAAGCAGGGCGCAGUGAAAUGGCCCAGGCGACUGUUUACCAAAAACACAGGUGUCUGCAAACUCGCAAGAGGAAGUAUAGGCACUGACGCCUGCCCGGUGCCGGAAGGUUAUGG
rnacentral:rRNA from 1 species